GAUGAACGCUGGCGGCGUGCCUAAUACAUGCAAGUCGAGCGAACAGACGAGGAGCUUGCUCCUCUGACGUUAGCGGCGGACGGGUGAGUAACACGUGGAUAACCUACCUAUAAGACUGGGAUAACUUCGGGAAACCGGAGCUAAUACCGGAUAAUAUAUUGAACCGCAUGAUUCAAUAGUGAAAGACGGUUUUGCUGUCACUUAUAGAUGGAUCCGCGCCGCAUUAGCUAGUUGGUAAGGUAACGGCUUACCAAGGCAACGAUGCGUAGCCGACCUGAGAGGGUGAUCGGCCACACUGGAACUGAGACACGGUCCAGACUCCUACGGGAGGCAGCAGUAGGGAAUCUUCCGCAAUGGGCGAAAGCCUGACGGAGCAACGCCGCGUGAGUGAUGAAGGUCUUCGGAUCGUAAAACUCCGUUAUUAGGGAAGAACAAAUGUGUAAGUAACUAUGCACGUCUUGACGGUACCUAAUCAGAAAGCCACGGCUAACUACGU
rnacentral:rRNA from 1 species